rnacentral:rRNA from 1 species
UACGUAGGGCGCGAGCGUUGUCCGGAAUUAUUGGGCGUAAAGAGCUCGUAGGCGGCCUGUUACGUCUGCUGUGAAAUCCCGGGGCUUAACCCCGGGCGUGCAGUGGAUACGGGCAGGCUGGAGGCAGGCAGGGGAGAACGGAAUUCCCGGUGUAGCGGUGAAAUGCGCAGAUAUCAGGAGGAACACCGGUGGCGAAGGCGGAUCUCUGGGCCAUUACUGACGCUGAGGAGCGAAAGCGUGGGGAGCGAACAGG